CAAUAGCGUAUAUUAAAGUUGUUGCAGUUAGAACGCUCGUAGUCGGAUUUCGGGGCGGGCCGACCGGUCUGCCGAUGGGUAUGCACUGGUCGGCGCGUCCUUCCUUCCGGAGACCGUCCCUACUCUUAACUGAGCGGGGGCGGGAGACGGGACUUUUACUUUGAAAAAAUCAGAGUGUUUCAAGCAGGCAGCUCGCUCUUGCAUGGAUUAGCAUGGGAUAAUGAAAUAGGACUUUGGUGCUAUUUUGUUGGUUUCGAACACCGAAGUAAUGAUGAGAAGGGACAGUCAGGGGCACUCGUAUUCCGCCGAGAGAGGUGAAAUUCUCAGACCAGCGGAAGACGAACCACUGCGAAAGCAUUUNCCAGGGAUGUUUNCACUGA
rnacentral:rRNA from 1 species